rnacentral:rRNA from 1 species
UGGGGAAUAUUGCACAAUGGGCGAAAGCCUGAUGCAGCAACGCCGUGUGAAUGAAGAAGGCCUUAGGGUCGUAAAAUUCUGUCCUAAGGGAAGAAAAAGAUGACGGUACCUUAGGAGGAAGCCCCGGCUAACUACGUGCCAGCAGCCGCGGUAAUACGUAGGGGGCAAGCGUUAUCCGGAAUUAUUGGGCGUAAAGAGUACGUAGGUGGCUAUAUAAGCGCAUGGUGAAAGGCAGAGGCUUAACCACUGUUAGCCUUGCGAACUGUAUAGCUUGAGUGCAGGAGAGGGAAGCGGAAUUCCUAGUGUAGCGGUGAAAUGCGUAGAUAUUAGGAGGAACACCAGUGGCGAAGGCGGCUUUCUGGACUGUAACUGACACUGAGGUACGAAAGCGUGGGGAGCAAACAGGAUUAGAUACCCUGGUAGUCCACGCCGUAAACGAUGAGCACUAGGUGUCGGUAUCGUAAGAUAUCGGUGCCGAAGUUAACGCAUUAAGUGCUCCGCCUGGGGAGUACGCACGCAAGUGUG